CGGACGGGUGAGUAACACGUAGAGAACCUACCUUACACAGGGGGACAACGGCUGGAAACGGCUGCUAAUACCGCAUAAGCACCCAGUUUCGCAUGAAACAGAGUGAAAAGAGUAAAUCGGUGUAAGAUGGCUCUGCGUCUGAUUAGCUAGUUGGUGGGGUAAAGGCCCACCAAGGCGACGAUCAGUAGCCGGCCUGAGAGGGUGAACGGCCACAUUGGGACUGAGACACGGCCCAAACUCCUACGGAAGGCAGCAG
rnacentral:rRNA from 1 species